rnacentral:misc_RNA from 1 species
UGUGGGAGCGGGCUUGCUCGCGAUUGGAUCGCCGUGGUUUGACAGAGAAACCGCGUCGUUGCCAUCGCGAGCAAGCCCGCUCCCACA